GACGAACGCUGGCGGCGUGCUUAACACAUGCAAGUCGAACGGAAAGGCCCUGCUUUUGUGGGGUGCUCGAGUGGCGCACGGGUGAGUCACACGUGAGUAACCUGCCCUUGACUUUGGGAUAACUUCAGGAAACUGGGGCUAAUACCGGAUAGGAGCUCCUGCUGCAUGGUGGGGGUUGGAAAGUUUCGGCGGUUGGGGAUGGACUCGCGGCUUAUCAGCUUGUUGGUGGGGUAGUGGCUUACCAAGGCUUUGACGGGUAGCCGGCCUGAGAGGGUGACCGGCCACAUUGGGACUGAGAUACGGCCCAGACUCCUACGGGAGGCAGCAGUGGGGAAUAUUGCACAAUGGGCGGAAGCCUGAUGCAGCAACGCCGCGUGCGGGAUGACGGCCUUCGGGUUGUAAACCGCUUUCGCCUGGGACGAAGCGUGAGUGACGGUAAUGGGUAAAGAAGCACCGGCUAACUACGUG
rnacentral:rRNA from 1 species